UACGGGGGGGGCGAGCGUUGUUCGGAAUUAUUGGGCGUAAAGGGAGCGUAGGCGGUGCGGUAAGUUUGGUGUGAAACCUCCAGGCUUAACUUGGAGCUGGCAUCAAAUACUGCCGUGCUAGAGUGUGGGAGAGGAGAGUGGAAUUCCCGGUGUAGCGGUGAAAUGCGUAGAUAUCGGGAGGAACAUCGGUGGCGAAGGCGGCUCUCUGGACCACAACUGACGCUGAGGCUCGAAAGCUAGGGGAGCAAACAGGAUUAGAUACCCUGGUAGUCCUAGCUGUAAACGAUGAACACUUGGUAUAGCGGGUAUCGAAUCCCGCUGUGCCGGAGCUAACGCAUUAAGUGUUCCGCCUGGGGAGUACGGUCGCAAGGCUGAA
rnacentral:rRNA from 1 species